AUAACUAUACGAAUCGCACGGCCUUGCGCCGGCGAUGGUUCAUUCAAAUUUCUUCCCUAUCAACUUUCGAUGUUUGGGUAUUGGCCAAACAUGGUUGCAACGGGUAACGGAGGGUUAGGGCUCGACCCCGGAGAAGGAGCCUGAGAAACGGCUACUACAUCCAAGGAAGGCAGCAGGCGCGCAAAUUACCCAAUCCCGACUCGGGGAGGUAGUGACAAUAAAUACUGAUACAGGGCCCUUUCGGGCCUUGUAAUUGGAAUGAGUACAAUUUAAAUCCCUUAACGAGGAACAAUUGGAGGGCAAGUCUGGUGCCAGCAGCCGCGGUAAUUCCAGCUCCAAUAGCGUAUAUUAAAGUUGUUGUGGUUAAAAAGCUCGUAGUUGAACCUUGGGCCUGGCUGGCCGGUCCGCCUCACCGCGUGCACUGGUCCGGCCGGGCCUUUCCCUCUGUGGAACCCCAUACCCUUCACUGGGCGUGGCGGGGAAACAGGACAUUUACUUUGAAAAAAUUAGAGUGCUCCAGGCAGGCCUAUGCUCGAAUACAUUAGCAUGGAAUAAUAAAAUAGGACGCGCGGUUCUAUUUUGUUGGUUUAUAGGACCGCCGUAAUGAUUAAUAGGGACAGUCGGGGGCAUCAGUAUUCAACUGUCAGAGGUGAAAUUCUUGGAUCAGUUGAAGACUAACUACUGCGAAAGCAUUUGCCAAGGAUG
rnacentral:rRNA from 1 species